AAACGCCUGGUCCUGACCCAUCCAUACCUCUGUGCUGGAUGGGAAAGGAGAGAGGGAAAUCCCAAAACAAAUGGAAAAGCCACUUUGCCAGCCACAGAGCAUGCAUGGCCCUCCCUGGGCAGGUCUACUCCAGGUGAGACACGGUUUGAGCCAGGCUACAGCCCCCAGAGCUAUCUAACCACAGGAGCUUGAAUGACACACCUACCUCUCAAGAUUAUAGAGUCUGCCUCAAAAGCCACCACUAUGCCAGCUUCCUGUGUGGGUCUAUAGACCCCUUGGGAGAUCUACAUGAUAGUGCCUGAACGGAGACUGAGCAUUAGAAUGCAUCUUAAUUUCAAGCACAUCAGCUCCACUGCCAAUAUGGAUUCAGUGAUCCAAAGUGUUUAAAUCCAAGUCUGGGGUGCAAGUUGAUGCUCUUAAGUGGCUGUUGUGGACCUGGGGUUCCUGUGACAGUAAACUUGGGCUUGAGAAAGGAUCCAAAGAGUGCCUGGGCCUCAAGAAGACACUACCAAGGAAUGAAUGGCCCUCACUGAACUCCUGUGACAUAAUAAGAUAUCUUCACCAUUGAAUAAGGGAUUUUCCUUGAAAAUAUUAUGCUAAUUGAAAGAAACCAAAUUGUAGAAGGUCACAUAUUAUAUGAUUUCAUUUAUAUGAAAUGUCCAGAAUAGGCAAAUCUAUAGAGACAGAAAGUAGAUUCAUUCUUAUCAGAGGCUGAGGGGUAAGGUGGGGAAAUGGCUUUGACUGCUAGUGGGUGUAAGGUUUCUUUUGUGGGGAGAUGAAAAUGUUCUAGAAUUUGAGAUUGGUGAUGGAUGCAUGAUUUUAUCAAUGUACUAAAAGCCAUUGACUUGCACACAUUAAAUUAGUAAAUGGUAUGGUACAUAAAUUACAACUCAAUAAAGCUGUUUAAAAAAAAUACGGCAUUCUGUCUACUAAAAUAAAACAAAAGAAAUAAGUAAAACCAGACUUUCACAGUCAACAAGUCUGUCAUCAGAUAAUGCUGAUUAAUAGUAAAACUGUAAUACACUCUCCCUCUGAAGUUGGAGUGGGCUCUGCUGAAAAUAGAAAUCUCAGGCAUAUGAAGAGGUUGGUGUCAGUCUGUUCUUCGUGGAAUACAUUUAAUGAGAAUCUUUUGCUUCUUUCUCUAAAGAAAGUAGAACUGAAAGAGGAGGGUGUCAGUUUCUUAGCAGCUUGCAAAGCCCAAAUCAAUAUAAAAAGAGCUUCCAUUUCUCAAGUAUCUUCUAGGUAUUCAGUGAAUACCCAGGGUUAAGGCUAUUUACAUGCAUACUUGCUAAUCCUCACCACAACGCUGCAAGGUAGAUAUUCCUAUCUCUGUUUCACUUAGGAGAGAAAUUAUGUUCCCAAAGUUGCAGAGCAAGUAAAUAGCAGAACCAAGAUUAGACCCAGAUCAGUCUAACUCCAAGGCCUUUGUCCUCAGUAUCUCUCAACCCUCAAUUAGAAGAGUUAUCACGGCCCUGGCUGAACCUGCCUAGGUUAUUUAACAAAUUUUUAGCAUUUUGAAGCCAUUCCAUUCAGUUACAGCAGCAGUUACUGUUCAGAAAUUUACAUUCCAAAAACUGAAAUCAACAAGGCAAUGCUGCUUGUCUCAGCAUUGUAGUUUUGAUGAUUCUUAGAGAUGUGUUAUGUUAUUUAAGACAUUUUUAGUGGCUCUCACUGCCAAAGACUAUGGAUCUCAUCAUUGCCUGUGCCCACAAGGACCCUCUGUUCCCUCUGACCUCAGGCCUCUUCCCAUCCAACAAGCCUCUCUGCACUUCUAUGUUCCCCUACUGGAACAAAGUCAGAACUGGAUCUGCUGACGCCACAUAUAGGUAUGGAAUCUGAGAUUGCUCUAUUGGGAUCAUCAUUCUAGACACUUCCCUCUGCCAUGGCAGGCUUUUGCUUCCAUGCCAGAUUGACAUGAUGCUAUACUGAGUGAGGACAACUCUGAGAGACCCACAGUCUUCCCAAGCUAGACCCAGGGAAGCAGUUUGGGGGUUCCCCAAAUAUAUUUGGCUGUUUGCAUGGACCCAGGGGGAUUUAACCUCAAGGGCAAAAUAAGAACUCUCAUCUCAGAAUCCCUGCCACCCUCUCUGUGCCCUACUCUUCAUGACUGGAAGAAGUUUUCUCUUCCCUUAGGGGUGGGAAUGCCAAGUCAUAUCCUGCUUCUCUCAAUACCGUGCCUCAGAGUAGAACCCUUUGCUCAGACCCCUCAGGUCUGCUCUGGAUAUAUAAAGGGAAUCUUUGGAAACAUACAAAACCCUUUCUCUCUCAAUAAAUCCUGGCUUUCAAGGUGAAUUCCUCUUCAUGGACCCAAAGAGUCUAAUUUCAAAUGGAAAGCUCAGGAAUGAUCUCUUGUUCUGGACCAGUUCUACCCAGGCUCUGAUCUCUGUGUGUGAACUGUUUGUUACUGUCUGCAACAAUAAAGUAUAGGAAUUGAGAAUAUUUGGAAACUUUUAUAGAAA
rnacentral:lncRNA from 10 species